GAUGAACGCUGGCGGCGUGCCUAAUACAUGCAAGUCGAGCGAACGGACGAGAAGCUUGCUUCUCUGAUGUUAGCGGCGGACGGGAGAGUAACAUGUGUAUAACCUACCUAUAUGACUGGGAUAACUUCGGGAAACCGGAGCUUAUACCGGAUGAUAUUUUGAACCGCAUGGUUCAAAAGUGAAAGACGGUCUUGCUGUCUCUUAUAGAUGGAUCCGGGCUGCAUUAGCUAGUUGGUAAGGUAAAGGCUUAUCACGGCAACGAUGCAUAGCCGACCUGAGAGACGGAUCGGCCACACUGGAGCUGAGACACGGUCCAGACGCCUACGGGAGGCAGCAGUAGGGAAUGUUCCGCAAUGGGCGAAAGCCUGACGGAACAGCGGCGCGUGAGUGAUGAAGGUCUUCGGAGCGUAAAGCUCUGUUAUUAGGGAAGAACAUAUGUGUAAGUAACUGUGCACAUAUUGACGGUACCUAGUAAGAAAGCCACGGCUAACUACGUG
rnacentral:rRNA from 1 species